rnacentral:rRNA from 1 species
GUCCAUGGCCACACCACCCUGAAUAUACCCGAUCUCGUCCGAUCUCAGAAGCUAAGCAGGGUUGGGCCUGGUUAGUACUUGGAUGGGAGAAUUGUAAAACAAAAACCCAAUCUAAAUAAGAACAGGAGACAUGUACG